rnacentral:rRNA from 1 species
AUGAACGCUGGCGGCGUGCCUAAUCCAUGCCCGUCGAGCGAACAGACGAGGAGCUUGCUCCUCUGACGUUAGCGGCGGACGGGUGAGUAACACGUGGAUAACCUACCUAUAAGACUGGGAUAACUUCGGGAAACCGGAGCUAAUACCGGAUAAUAUAUUGAACCGCAUGGUUCAAUAGUGAAAGACGGUUUUGCUGUCACUUAUAGAUGGAUCCGCGCCGCAUUAGCUAGUUGGUAAGGUAACGGCUUACCAAGGCAACGAUGCGUAGCCGACCUGAGAGGGUGAUCGGCCACACUGGAACUGAGACACGGUCCAGACUCCUACGGGAGGCAGCAGUAGGGAAUCUUCCGCAAUGGGCGAAAGCUUGACGGAGCAACGCCGCGUGAGUGAUGAAGGUCUUCGGAUCGUAAAACUCUGUUAUUAGGGAAGAACAAAUGUGUAAGUAACUAUGCACGUCUUGACGGUACCUAAUCAGAAAGCCACGGCUAACUACGUG